AAUGAAGCAAACAAGAGUAAUAUUGGUUCGGCUCGUCUUAAGCUAUGAUACUUGGUGAUGAGCCGAACCUAUAUAUACCACAUCAUGUCUACUUUUGCA
rnacentral:miRNA from 1 species